UACGUAGGGACCAAGCGUUGUUCGGAUUUAUUGGGCGUAAAGGGCGCGUAGGCGGCACUUCAAGUCAUCUGUGAAAUCUCCGGGCUUAACUCGGAACGGUCAGGUGAAACUGCUUUGCUAGAGUGCGGAAGGGGCAAUCGGAAUUCUCGGUGUAGCGGUGAAAUGCGUAGAUAUCGAGAGGAACACCUGAGGUGAAGACGGGUUGCUGGGCCGACACUGACGCUGAAGCGCGAAAGCCAGGGGAGCAAACGGG
rnacentral:rRNA from 1 species